rnacentral:rRNA from 1 species
CCUACGGGUGGCAGCAGUGGGGAAUAUUGGGCAAUGGGCGCAAGCCUGACCCAGCAACGCCGCGUGAAGGAAGACGGCUUUCGGGUUGUAAAACUCUUUUCUUAGGGACGAAGCAAGUGACGGUACCUGAGGUAUAAGCCACGGCUAACUACGAGCCAGCAGCCGCGGUAAUACGUAGGUGGCAAGCGUUAUCCGGAUUUACUGGGUGUAAAGGGCGGGUAGGCGGGAAAGCAAGUCAGAUGUGAAAACCAUGGGCUCAACCGGUGGCUUGCAUUUGAUACUGUUUUCCUUGAGUACUGGAGAGGCAGGCGGAAUUCGUGGUGUAGCGGUGAAAUGCGUAGAUAUCAGGAGGAACGC